rnacentral:rRNA from 1 species
GAUGAACGCUAGCGGCAGGCUUAACACAUGCAAGUCGAGGGGUAUAGUUCUUCGGAACUAGAGACCGGCGCACGGGUGCGUAACGCGUAUGCAAUCUACCUUUUUACAGAGGGAUAGCCCAGAGAAAUUUGGAUUAAUACCUCAUAGUAUGUGAGAAUCGCAUGGUUUUUCACAUUAAAGUUCCAACGGUAAAAGAUGAGCAUGCGUCCCAUUAGCUAGAUGGUAAGGUAACGGCUUACCAUGGCGACGAUGGGUAGGGGUCCUGAGAGGGAGAUCCCCCACACUGGUACUGAGACACGGACCAGACUCCUACGGGGGGCAGCAGUGAGGAAUAUUGGACAAUGGGCGCAAGCCUGAUCCAGCAAUGCCGCGUGCAGGAAGAAGGCCUUCGGGUUGUAAACUGCUUUUGUACGGAGCGAAAAGGCCCUCUCUAAUACAGGGGGUUCAUGACGGUACCGUAAGAAUAAGCACCGGCUAACUACGUG